rnacentral:misc_RNA from 1 species
GGCUACUCUUUCCCCUUCUCUUUGAUUCAAGAACCAGAAAAACCUCUCAAUCGAUCCGAAUUACUCCAAAUUCCUCUUUCAUAUCUUCAAUUCAUCCAUUUUAGGAGCUGGGUUUUUCACUAUUUUGAUGGAUUCAUCCUUAACUCUAUCGCUUUCUCAUACCAAUUCCGACACCCAUGACCUAAUUGGUACCUAUUUCUUAGAACAAUGGAGACUGAAAUCGAAAGCCGCUGUUAGAAAAUCAGAAUCAGUAAUGGGUGUUUCAGAAAAUCAAUAUUUGAUGGAAAUUGAUUCAGAAGAGUGUGAAGAAGAGAAAGAAGAGUUGCCAACGGAGUUGGAUACUUUGCAUAGUUCUGGUGGGUUUUCGAUUGUUGGAUCAGAUAAACUUUCUGUGCGUUACCCAAAUGCGCAUCUUCAUGGACAUGAUGUUGGAGUUGUUCAAGCUAAUCGUCCUGCACCUUGUAAAAGGCUUGUUUAUUAUUUUGAGAUAUUUGUGGAAAAUGCUGGUACUAAAGGUCAAAUUGCUAUUGGGUUUACUACUCCUGGGUUCAAAUUGCGUCGACAACCUGGCUGGGAAUCAAACAGUUAUGGAUAUCAUGGUGAUGAUGGACUGCUAUAUCGUGGACAAGGAAAGGGAGAGGCGUUUGGCCCAGCUUAUUCAACAGGUGAUACUGUUGGUGGCGGCAUCAAUUAUGCUUCUCAAGAACUCUUUUUCACGAAAAAUGGAACUGUUGUAGGAACAGUUUUCAAGGAUGUAAAAGGGCCAUUAUUUCCUACCGUUGCAGUUCACAGCCAACAUGAAGUGGUCACUGUCAACUUUGGGAAGCGUCCAUUUGUUUUUGAUCUUAAGGCAUAUGAAGCGCAGGAAAGGGCAAAGCAGAAUUCAACUAUUGAAAAAUUGUCUAUACCUCAGAAUGCCAGUUAUGGAAUUGUUCGCGCAUAUUUACAACAUUAUGGAUAUGAAGAUACACUGAAAACGUUUGAUGUUGAAAGUAGAAGUACUCUUCCACCCAUCUCUUUUGUUCAAGAAAAUGGCUUUGCAGAGGACGUCAGUGUGUAUUCAUUAAAUCAGAGAAAGGUUCUUCGUCAGCUAAUUCGGAGCGGUCAAAUUGGUGAUGCCUUUGGUAAACUAAGAGAGUUAUAUCCACAGAUACUCCAGGAUGGCACAUCAGCAAUAUGCUUUCUGCUUCACUGUCAAAAUUUUAUUGAGCUAGUACGGGUUGGAAAGCUUGAAGAAGCUGUGUUAUAUGGCAGGACUGAAUUUGAAAAAUUCUAUAAGUUGGGAGACUAUGAUGAUUUGGUCAAGGAUUGUGCUGCUCUACUGGCAUAUGAACAACCCCAGAAAUCCUCUGUUGGGUAUCUUCUAGGAGAUUCACAGCGAGAUAUUGUGGCUGAUGCUGUCAAUGCAAUGGUAUUGUCAACGAAUCCGAGUGUGAAAGAUUCAAGAGAGUGCUUACAUUCACGUCUUGACAGGCUACUCAGGCAGUUAAGUGCUUGCUUCUUGGCGAAGAGAACGUUUAAUGGGGAUCAGGGUGAAGGUUUCCAUCUACAUAGAAUACUUAACAGUGGUAGGAAAGGCUGAGAGGUAGUCUUGGUUUUCAUUCCCAUCACUCCCAACCCAUGUAUAUGCUUCACUCAUCCAACGCCUUUCAUGUCACGAUCCAAGAGGAAAUCCCUCUCGGUGACCAGCACACGUGCUGUGUAGAGUUGCUAUGUACUUUCUUGAUUUGUAGUAGCCAUUCAUUUUCUUGAUUACUGGGUUGUCUUCGUUUUAAUACCCCCUACAACAGUAAAUCUUCUAUAGUUUGUGCACAUUGAAUGGUCAGAUUCUAUACUUGUGGGGUAUAAUGCCAUCCGAGGUUCU